AACGAACGCUGGCGGCAGGCUUAACACAUGCAAGUCGAGCGCCCCGCAAGGGGAGCGGCAGACGGGUGAGUAACGCGUGGGAAUCUACCCAUCUCUACGGAAUAACGCAUGGAAACGUGUGCUAAUACCGUAUACGUCCUUCGGGAGAAAGAUUUAUCGGAGAUGGAUGAGCCCGCGUUGGAUUAGCUAGUUGGUGGGGUAAAGGCCUACCAAGGCGACGAUCGAUAGCUGGUCUGAGAGGAUGAUCAGCCAAACGGGGACUGAGACACGGCCCAGACACCUACGAGAGGCAGGAGGGGGGAGUGUUGGACAAUGGGAGCAAGUCUGUUCCAGCCAUGCCGCGUGAGGGAUGAAGGCCCUAGUGUUGUAAAGCUCUUUCUCCGGUGAAGAUAAUGGCGGUAACCGGAGAAGAAGCCCCGGCUAACUUCGUGCAAGCAGCCGCCGCGGUAA
rnacentral:rRNA from 1 species